rnacentral:rRNA from 1 species
AAAAAAGGUAGAUUACCUGACGUUCCCAUCUGUGUGAACAUAAUGGUACUGAUCAGGCUCUAAGCAUCUUUACUUCCGUGUUCGGAUGGGAACGGGUGUAUCCUACUUGAUAUGAACCUACC